UACGAAGGGGGCUAGCGUUGUUCGGAAUCACUGGGCGUAAAGCGCGCGUAGGCGGAUCUGUAAGUCAGAGGUGAAAGCCCAGGGCCUAACCUUGGAACUGCCUUUGAAACUACAGAUCUAGAGACUCGGAGGGGGUAGUGGAAUUCCUAAUGUAGGGGUGAAAUCCGUAGAUAUUAGGAGGAACACCGGUGGCGAAGGCGGCUACCUGGACGAGUACUGACGCUGAGGUGCGAAAGCGUGGGGAUCAAACAGG
rnacentral:rRNA from 1 species